AAAAAAGGCAAACCUGGGUUUACGUGUCCAACUUUGAUUGUCCGUCUUAUAUAAAAUUUUUUUAUAAUUCGUAUUUUUAUUGUUGUUAGAUGAUAAAAUAUGAUUAAUACUUUGUGCGUGACUUCUCUUUUUAAUUUUUUUCAUUAUUUUUUCAAAUAAGACGGACGGUCAAACAUUGGACACGGAAACCAAGGUUUGUCUUUUUU
rfam:Oryza sativa (indica cultivar-group) chromosome 7, whole genome shotgun sequence.